UAUGAUAAGAAUAGUCAUAAUGAUAAGAAGGAGCAUAGAUUUGUUGUUCGGUUAUUUAUUGUUAUCAUUGGGGGACCUCUUUGUUUGUUUCUUUACCUUUUUAUUUCUUUCUUGAAAAUUUUGGCAUUUACAAU
rnacentral:ribozyme from 1 species